GACGAACGCUGGCGGCGUGCUUAACACAUGCAAGUCGAACGGAAAGGCCCUGCUUUUGUGGGGUGCUCGAGUGGCGAACGGGUGAGUAACACGUGAGUAACCUGCCCUUGACUUUGGGAUAACUUCAGGAAACUGGGGCUAAUACCGGAUAGGAGCUCCUGCUGCAUGGUGGGGGUUGGAAAGUUUCGGCGGUUGGGGAUGGACUCGCGGCUUAUCAGCUUGUUGGUGGGGUAGUGGCUUACCAAGGCUUUGACGGGUAGCCGGCCUGAGAGGGUGACCGGCAACAUUGGGACUGAGAUACGGCCCAGAAUCCUACGGGAGGCAGCAGUGGGGAAUAUUGCACAAUGGGCGGAAGACUGAUGCAGCAAAGCGGCGUGCGGGAUGACGGCCUUCGGGUUGUAAACCGCUUUCGCCUGUGACGAAGCGUGAGUGACGGUAAUGGGUAAAGAAGCACCGGCUAACUACGUG
rnacentral:rRNA from 1 species